CCCGGCUGCGGUGGAGCCGCUCCCGAUCCCGGCGCUCCCGGUCGUGUUCCCGGACCCUCGGAGCGGGCUGGGGCUCUGCGGAGGGAGGAUGAGGAGGAUGCGGAUAUGGAGGUUUUGGGAUCCCUGCAGGGACAACUCCCGUGGGCCCCAGGAGCUGCUGGAACCCCCUUUGGCCCCCGGUGAGGACACGGGGCAGCAGGAGUGGCCCCCGGUGAGGACACUGGGCAGGAGUGGCACCUGUCCCCUCCCGAGGCUGGAUUGUCCCUGGAUGGUUCCUCUGAGCCUCGCCUGGGCUUUGGACGCUCCCUUCUGUCCGCAGCUGGAAUGGCAGGGCUGUUCCUCCCGCUCCUCCCAAAUCCCGUGGAUUUACUGCCUCUGGCUGCUUUUCCAUCGUCCUGCUGGGACUGGCUCUGGCACAGGAAUCUCCGAGGGACAGAUGGGGACCAGCAGCACCUGCAGGCUGCAAUUCCCUCCUUUUCUGGGCUGCUCUGAGCGUGCUGGCUCUGCAGGAGGAAGGAUUCCAUGCACUGCUGGAGGACAAUUCCUGCUGCUCUGAUGCUUCUCAGCUUCCCAGGAGGGAAAUCCUGGUGAAGGGAUUUUUCAGAAAAUGUGAAUUUGACACAGCCGGGGCAUCCCUGGAUCUCCCCUGGGCCAUCCUCGGAUCCUGCAGGUCCUCUUGCACCUCUGAGGUUUUUGUGGUGACAUCUGAGGGCAGCUCUGCACGCCCGUGGGACAUUUUGGGGUUAAAGGAGCAGAGUUUGGGCGGUCUCGUCCAGCCUGACCCCAGCGCUCGGCAUCCCCCGCAGGCUCAGGGUCCCUGCUGGAGGCUCGGGGUGAGGGACAGAAGGACAGCCAGGAGGAGAGGAUGGACACUGCAGCUGGGACAGACAGACAGCCAGGAGCAGCUCCCAAGGACAGCAUGGACACUGCAGCUGGGACAGACAGACAGCCAGAACAGCCAGAACAGCUCCUGGGGACAGGAUGGACACUGCAUCUGGAGCAGAGGGACAGAAGGACAGCCAGGAGGAGAGGAUGGACACUGCAGCUGGGACAGACAGACAGCCAGGAGCAGCUCCCAAGGACAGCAUGGACACUGCAGCUGGGACAGAAGGACAGCCAGGACAGCCAGAACAGCUCCUGGGGACAGGAUGGACCCUGCAUCUGGAGCAGAGGGACAGAAGGACAGCCAGGACAGCCAGAACAGCUCCUGGGGACAGGAUCGACACUGCAUCUGGAGCAGAGGGACAGAAGGACAGCCAGGACAGCCAGAACAGCUCCUGAGGACAGGAUGGACACUGCAUCUGGAGCAGAGGGACAGAAGGACAGCCAGGACAGCCAGGACCAUCUGCCAAGGACAGGACAGACAGUGCUGGGCUGCACAUCCCUGCAGGAGCUGAGCUCCUCCCCGUGGCACUGACAGUGCCCAGGAGCAAUUUCUUUGGGAAUUUGGGAAUUUUCCUUGUGGAUCCUGGCCAUGGAUGGAUGCUGAAGAGCUCCUGGCUCGAGCAGGAGCUCAGUGCUUUUCUCUGGCAAGGACCAAGCCCUUGCCUGCUUUCCAGUGGAUAUUUUUGGUUUUUAUUCUUGCUGGUUUUGGGGGUUUGGGUGUUUCCUGAGGCUGCUGGAGCUGCAGUGGAUCCGUGGUGGGACUGGAGCCUUUGGAGGAGCAGGAGCUGAGCUGGAGCUGGGGCUCCAGGCUGGCUCAUCCCGGCCUGGGGGGGCUCAGGAGGAUCCUGGUGCCACAGCUGGGGCAUCCCAGGGGAUCCCAGGGCGGGAAUGGGGGGAAGCCAAACCCAGCAUGGGGAGUGUCACCCUCAGAGACAAUUAAACUGCAUUUAAUUAAUUUAAUAAACCCCGUUGGC